rnacentral:rRNA from 1 species
AGCAGUGGCGCACGGGUGAGUAACGCGUGGGAAUCUACCCUGAGGUUCGGAAUAACGGUUGGAAACGACCGCUAAUACCGGAUGUGCCCUAUGGGGCAAAGGCUUGCCGCCUUGGGAGGAGCCCGCGUCCGAUUAGCUAGUUGGUAAGGUAAUGGCUUACCAAGGCAACGAUCAAUAGCUGUUCUUAGAGGAAGACCAGCCACAUUGGGACUGAGACACGGCCCAAACUCC